AUUGAACGCUGGCGGCAUGCCUUACACAUGCAAGUCGAACGGCAGCACGGGAGCAAUCCUGGUGGCGAGUGGCGAACGGGUGAGUAAUAUAUCGGAACGUGCCCAGUCGUGGGGGAUAACGCAGCGAAAGCUGUGCUAAUACCGCAUACGAUCUAUGGAUGAAAGCGGGGGGAUCGCAAGACCUCGCGCGAUUGGAGCGGCCGAUAUCAGAUUAGCUAGUUGGUGGGUAAAAGCCACCAAGGCGACGAUCUGUAGCUGGUCUGAGAGGACGACCAGCCACACUGGAACUGAGACACGGUCCAGACUCCUACGGAGGCAGCAGUGGGGAAUUUUGGACAAUGGGCGCAAGCCUGAUCCAGCAAUGCGCGUGAGUGAAGAAGGCCUU
rnacentral:rRNA from 1 species